AACGAACGCUGGCGGCAUGCCUAACACAUGCAAGUCGAACGAGACCUUCGAGUCUAGUGGCGCACGGGUGCGUAACGCGUGGGAACCUGCCCUUAGGUUCGGAAUAACUCCCCGAAAGGGGUGCUAAUACCGGAUAAUGUCUUCGGACCAAAGAUUUAUCGCCUUUGGAUGGGCCCGCGUUGGAUUAGCUAGUUGGUAGGGUAAAAGCCUACCAAGGCGACGAUCCAUAGCUGGUCUGAGAGGAUGAUCAGCCACACUGGGACUGAGACACGGCCCAGACUCCUACGGGAGGCAGCAGUGGGGAAUAUUGGACAAUGGGCGAAAGCAUGAUCCAGCAAUGCCGCGUGAGUGAUGAAGGCCUUAGGGUUGUAAAGCUCUUUUACCCGGGAUGAUAAUGACAGUACCGGGAGAAUAAGCUCCGGCUAACUCCGUG
rnacentral:rRNA from 1 species